rnacentral:rRNA from 1 species
AUUGAACGCUGGCGGCAGGCUUAACACAUGCAAGUCGAGCGGGGUGAUGGUGCUUGCACUAUCACUUAGCGGCGGACGGGUGAGUAAUGCUUAGGAAUCUGCCUAUUAGUGGGGGACAACAUCUCGAAAGGGAUGCUAAUACCGCAUACGUCCUACGGGAGAAAGCAGGGGAUCACUUGUGACCUUGCGCUAAUAGAUGAGCCUAAGUCGGAUUAGCUAGUUGGUGGGGUAAAGGCCUACCAAGGCGACGAUCUGUAGCGGGUCUGAGAGGAUUAUCCGCCACGCUGGGACUGAGACACGGCCCAGACUCCUACGGGAGGCAGCAGUGGGGAAUAUUGGACAAUGGGGGGAACCCUGAUCCAGCCAUGCCGCGUGUGUGAAGAAGGCCUUAUGGUUGUAAAGCACUUUAAGCGAGGAGGAGGCUCUUUUGGUUAAUACCCAAGAUGAGUGGACGUUGCUCGCAGAAUAAGCACCGGCUAACUCUGUGCCAGCCGCCGCCGUAA